CCUACGCGUGGCAGCAGUGAGGAAUAUUGGUCAAUGGCCGGAAGGCUGAACCAGCCAUGCCGCGUGCAGGUCAGUGCCCUAUGGGCGUUAAACUUCUUUUGUUCGGGAGCAAUAAUCGUCACGUUUGGCCAUACGCUAUUACCGUUCUAUUCAGCAUCGGCUAACUCCGUGCCAGCAGCCGCGGUCAUACUGGGUAGGCAAGCGUUAUCCGGAUUUAUUGGUUUUAAAGGUUGCGGAGGCUGUGAGGUAAGUCAGCGGUGAAAUGCCCACGCUCAACGGGGGUAAGUGCCAUUGAUACGGCCGGGAUGGAAUGCGGAUGCCGUGGGAGGAAGGUGUGGUGUAGCGGUGAAAGGCAUAGAUAGCACACAGAACACCGAUUGCGAAGGCAUCUCACGAAGCCGCGAUUGACGCUGAUGCACGAAAGCGUGGGUAUCAAACAGGAUUAGAUACCCGGGUAGUC
rnacentral:rRNA from 1 species